rnacentral:rRNA from 1 species
GUGCCAGCAGCCGCGGUAAUACGAGGGGGGCAAGCGUUGUUCGGAAUUAUUGGGCGUAAAGGGUGCGUAGGCGGUUUUGUAAGUCUUGUGUGAAAUCUUCAGGCUCAACUUGAAGACUGCACGAGAAACUGCAGGGCUUGAGUGUGGGAGAGGUGAGUGGAAUUCCUGGUGUAGCGGUGAAAUGCGUAGAUAUCAGGAGGAACACCUGUGGCGAAAGCGGCUCACUGGACCACAACUGACGCUGAUGCACGAAAGCUAGGGGAGCAAACAGGAUUAGAUACCCUGGUAGUCC